rnacentral:rRNA from 1 species
GGGUUGUGAGGUUAAGCGACUAAGCGUACACGGUGGAUGCCCUGGCAGUCAGAGGCGAUGAAGGGCGUGCUAAUCUGCGAUAAGCGCCGGUAAGGUGAUAUGAACCGUUAUAACCGGCGAUACCCGAAUGGGGAAACCCAGUGUGAUUCGUCACACUAUCAUUAACUGAAUCCAUAGGUUAAUGAGGCGAACCGGGGGAACUGAAACAUCUAAGUACCCCGAGGAAAAGAAAUCAACCGAGAUUCCCCCAGUAGCGGCGAGCGAACGGGGAGGAGCCCAGAGCCUGAAUCAGCAUGUGUGUUAGUGGAAGCGUCUGGAAAGGCGCGCGAUACAGGGUGACAGCCCCGUACACAAAAGCGCAUGUGCUGUGAGCUCGAUGAGUAGGGCGGGACACGUGGUAUCCUGUCUGAAUAUGGGGGGACCAUCCUCCAAGGCUAAAUACUCCUGACUGACCGAUAGUGAACCAGUACCGUGAGGGAAAGGCGAAAAGAACCCCGGCGAGGGGAGUGAAAAAGAACCUGAAACCGUGUACGUACAAGCAGUGGGAGCNNGUGACUGCGUACCUUUUGUAUAAUGGGUCAGCGACUUAUAUUCUGUAGCAAGGUUAACCGAAUAGGGGAGCCGGAGGGAAACCGAGUCUUAAUUGGGCGUUAAGUUGCAGGGUAUAGACCCGAAACCCGGUGAUCUAGCCAUGGGCAGGUUGAAGGUUGGGUAACACUAACUGGAGGACCGAACCGACUAAUGUUGAAAAAUUAGCGGAUGACCUGUGGCUGGGGGUGAAAGGCCAAUCAAACCGGGAGAUAGCUGGUUCUCCCCGAAAGCUAUUUAGGUAGCGCCUCGUGAAUUCAUCUCCGGGGGUAGAGCACUGUUUCGGCUAGGGGGCCAUCCCGGCUUACCAACCCGAUGCAAACUGCGAAUACCGGAGAAUGUUAUCACGGGAGACACACGGCGGGUGCUAACGUCCGUCGUGAAGAGGGAAACAACCCAGACCGCCAGCUAAGGUCCCAAAGUCAUGGUUAAGUGGGAAACGAUGUGGGAAGGCCCAGACAGCCAGGAUGUUGGCUUAGAAGCAGCCAUCAUUUAAAGAAAGCGUAAUAGCUCACUGGUCGAGUCGGCCUGCGCGGAAGAUGUAACGGGGCUAAACCAUGCACCGAAGCUGCGGCAGCGANNGUUGGGUAGGGGAGCGUUCUGUAAGCCUGUGAAGGUGUGUCGUGAGGCAUGCUGGAGGUAUCAGAAGUGCGAAUGCUGACAUAAGUAACGAUAAAGCGGGUGAAAAGCCCGCUCGCCGGAAGACCAAGGGUUCCUGUCCAACGUUAAUCGGGGCAGGGUGAGUCGACCCCUAAGGCGAGGCCGAAAGGCGUAGUCGAUGGGAAACGGGUUAAUAUUCCCGUACUUGGUGUUACUGCGAAGGGGGGACGGAGAAGGCUAUGUUGGCCGGGCGACGGUUGUCCCGGUUUAAGCGUGUAGGUGUGUGUUCCAGGUAAAUCCGGUUCACUUUAACACUGAGGCGUGAUGACGAGGCACUACGGUGCUGAAGUAACAAAUGCCCUGCUUCCAGGAAAAGCCUCUAAGCAUCAGGUAACAUCAAAUCGUACCCCAAACCGACACAGGUGGUCAGGUAGAGAAUACCAAGGCGCUUGAGAGAACUCGGGUGAAGGAACUAGGCAAAAUGGUGCCGUAACUUCGGGAGAAGGCACGCUGACACGUAGGUGAAGUGAUUUACUCAUGGAGCUGAAGUCAGUCGAAGAUACCAGCUGGCUGCAACUGUUUAUUAAAAACACAGCACUGUGCAAACACGAAAGUGGACGUAUACGGUGUGACGCCUGCCCGGUGCCGGAAGGUUAAUUGAUGGGGUCAGCGCAAGCGAAGCUCCUGAUCGAAGCCCCGGUAAACGGCGGCCGUAACUAUAACGGUCCUAAGGUAGCGAAAUUCCUUGUCGGGUAAGUUCCGACCUGCACGAAUGGCGUAAUGAUGGCCAGGCUGUCUCCACCCGAGACUCAGUGAAAUUGAACUCGCUGUGAAGAUGCAGUGUACCCGCGGCAAGACGGAAAGACCCCGUGAACCUUUACUAUAGCUUGACACUGAACAUUGAGCCUUGAUGUGUAGGAUAGGUGGGAGGCUUUGAAGUGUGGACGCCAGUCUGCAUGGAGCCGACCUUGAAAUACCACCCUUUAAUGUUUGAUGUUCUAACGUGGACCCGUGAUCCGGGUUGCGGACAGUGUCUGGUGGGUAGUUUGACUGGGGCGGUCUCCUCCUAAAGAGUAACGGAGGAGCACGAAGGUUGGCUAAUCCUGGUCGGACAUCAGGAGGUUAGUGCAAUGGCAUAAGCCAGCUUGACUGCGAGCGUGACGGCGCGAGCAGGUGCGAAAGCAGGUCAUAGUGAUCCGGUGGUUCUGAAUGGAAGGGCCAUCGCUCAACGGAUAAAAGGUACUCCGGGGAUAACAGGCUGAUACCGCCCAAGAGUUCAUAUCGACGGCGGUGUUUGGCACCUCGAUGUCGGCUCAUCACAUCCUGGGGCUGAAGUAGGUCCCAAGGGUAUGGCUGUUCGCCAUUUAAAGUGGUACGCGAGCUGGGUUUAGAACGUCGUGAGACAGUUCGGUCCCUAUCUGCCGUGGGCGCUGGAGAACUGAGGGGGGCUGCUCCUAGUACGAGAGGACCGGAGUGGACGCAUCACUGGUGUUCGGGUUGUCAUGCCAAUGGCACUGCCCGGUAGCUAAAUGCGGAAGAGAUAAGUGCUGAAAGCAUCUAAGCACGAAACUUGCCCCGAGAUGAGUUCUCCCUGAGACUUUAGGUCUCCUGAAGGAACGUUGAAGACGACGACGUUGAUAGGCCGGGUGUGUAAGCGCAGCGAUGCGUUGAGCUAACCGGUACUAAUGAACCGUGAGGCUUAACCUUACAACGCCGAAG